CUUCCGUAGGGUGAACCUGCGGAAGGAUCAUUAAUGAACCUUUGAGAGAGUUGAGCUAUUAAUCAAGCUUGCUCUUUCUUAAACCUUUUAAUACACCUGUGCACUUUUGAGGGGAUUAGUUAGACUUUUUUUGUAAUGAAAAAGUGUAAGGUCCCCUUUUGUAACUACAUACACUUUUUUUUUGUAUUCGAAUGUCUUGUUGGUAAUAUAUAAUACAACUUUUAACAACGGAUCUCUUGGCUCUCGCAUCGAUGAAGAACGCAGCGAAAUGCGAUAAGUAAUGUGAAUUGCAGAAUUCAGUGAAUCAUCGAAUCUUUGAACGCACCUUGCGCUCCCUGGUAUUCCGGGGAGCACGCCUGUUCGAGCGUCAUAAAGUUAUCAAAUGGUUACCUUUUUUUCUCACAAGUGAGAAAGGUAGCUAUUUGGAUUUGGACUCUGCUGUUGUAACUAAUGGCUGGUCCGAAAGCUAUUAGCUGAUCCUAACGAAGGACUUGGUUCUUACUUGGCGUGAUAAUUAUCAAACGUCGAGGACAUUACAAGUGCGUUUGUAAUGGCCAAGAAAAUCUAAUAGGAACGCUUUCUAAUGGUCUUGAUAGACAAAAUUUGUA
rnacentral:rRNA from 1 species